ACCUCGGUCUUUGGUUCCAGCAGGACUCGGAAACUGGGUCCCAGCUCCUUCUUCUAGAAGGUCCUGAGAGUCAACAUUUGGCGUCUUCACUUCCCAACUGAAUGCGCCUCCUGUUCCUCCGAAUUUGUGUCAGGAUUUCUCCCCCGAAACAAGCCUGACCUGGAACAAACCAACCCCAGCCUCUCUGACGUGGCGUCACGGGACCCCAUGAAUCCACGGAUCCUCCAGGGAAAUACCGGCAGGGGAAA